UUUGUUUUAGGUACCUCAGCAACGACCUCACCAGAUACUCCAGCACCAAGCCCAGGUACUCCAGCACCGACACCACCAGGUACUCCAGCACCGACACCACCAGGUACUCCAGCACCGACACCACCAGGUACUCCAGCACCGACACCACCAGGUACUCCAGCACCGACACCACCAGGUACUCCAGCACCGACGCCACCAGGUACUCCAGCACCGACACCACCAGGUACUCCAGCACCGACACCACCAGGUACUCCAGCACCGACACCACCAGGUACUCCAGCACCGACACCACCAGGGACUCCAGCACCGACACCACCAGGGACUCCAGCACCG